AGAGAAGAGUGUGAAGCCUGCUUGGAGAAGAGGAGGAGGCUGAAAAGAAGGCAAAGAGUGAAGAUAGAGAAACAAGAUGGAAGUGGGGGAGAAAAACAGGGAUGAGAGAAUGCCAUGGUGGUGCUGAGAAGGAAAGGAGAGACUUUUCUGCUUGUAAAGGGCAGAAGAUGGCAGAAUCCAGUGACGCAGGGGCAUCUGGCUCCAGAAAUAAUAGGUCACUUGGCACCCACUUCUUCAAAACGGAGCAGGAGAAGAUCAGAGAAAUCUGCUACAAAACCAAGGAGGUGAGGGAGAAGAGGACCAAAUACUCACCUAGCACAUGCUCACUCUUCUCACAGGUGACUGUGGUUAUGACUGGCUAAAUAAUUUGUGAGG
rnacentral:lncRNA from 1 species